rnacentral:rRNA from 1 species
CCUACGGGAGGCUGCAGUGGGGAAUAUUGCACAAUGGGCGCAAGCCUGAUGCAGCCAUGCCGCGUGUGUGAAGAAGGCCUUCGGGUUGUAAAGCACUUUCAGCGGGGAGGAAGGCGGUGAGGUUAAUAACCUCAUCGAUUGACGUUACCCGCAGAAGAAGCACCGGCUAACUCCGUGCCAGCAGCCGCGGUAAUACGGAGGGUGCAAGCGUUAAUCGGAAUUACUGGGCGUAAAGCGCACGCAGGCGGUCUGUCAAGUCGGAUGUGAAAUCCCCGGGCUCAACCUGGGAACUGCAUUCGAAACUGGCAGGCUAGAGUCUUGUAGAGGGGGGUAGAAUUCCAGGUGUAGCGGGGAAAUGCGUAGAGAUCUGGAGGAAUACCGGUGGCGAAGGCGGCCCCCUGGACAAAGACUGACGCUCAGGUGCGAAAGCGUGGGGAGCAAACAGGAUUAGAUACCCCAGUAGUC